rnacentral:rRNA from 1 species
GACGUAGGGCGCGAGCGUUGUCCGGAUUUAUUGGGCGUAAAGAGCUCGUAGGCGGCUUGUCGCGUCGACCGUGAAAACUUGGGGCUCAACCCCAAGCCUGCGGUCGAUACGGGCAGGCUCGAGUUCGGUAGGGGAGACUGGAAUUCCUGGUGUAGCGGUGAAAUGCGCAGAUAUCUGGAGGAACACCGGUGGCGAAGGCGGCAUCCUGGACCGACACUGACGCUGAGGCGCGAAAGCUAGGGUAGCAAACGGG